AUGAGGAGCGCGCAGCCACCGGAGUCGUGGGCAGAUCUAGCCGGGGCCGUCAGCAGCCAUCCCUCCCUCCGGGCGGGCAUGAAGAAUUUAAGCGGCUUGGGCAGAACUAGCAUAUGGACCAUGCGCGCCUCCCGCGCUAGGAGCCACCGGUCCUCGUUAUCUGCUAGCAUCCACGAGGAAUCCAUCCAUAUAAUGUUACGACAUUUAAAACUGUCAAAGGAUGCGACGAUGCAACGAAAGAACUUGAGUAGUGUUCUACUCGCCUUGGUGGAAAGGCACCAAAGAGGCUGGCGAUCAACUCUCAAAAUUCAUAGUAUACACCAGAAAGGCUGGCGAUCAACUCUAAGUUUCACUUACAAGGCAUACAAAAUAGAUGCAGCUAGAUUGGCUAUCUGCUGGAAGAUUUACAACCAGAAGAGUGGGAAUGGAUGA
rnacentral:rRNA from 1 species